rnacentral:rRNA from 1 species
UACGGAGGAUCCGAGCGUUAUCCGGGUUUAUUGGGUUUAAAGGGUGCGUAGGCGGCCUUGUAAGUCAGGGGUGAAAGACGGUAGCUUAACUAUCGCAGUGCCUUUGAUACUGCAGGGCUUGAAUGUACUUGAGGUAGGCGGAAUGUGACAAGUAGCGGUGAAAUGCAUAGAUAUGUCACAGAACACCAAUUGCGAAGGCAGCUUACUAAAGUAUGAUUGACGCUGAGGCACGAAAGCGUGGGGAUCAAACAGG